GACGAACGCUGGCGGCGUGCUUAACACAUGCAAGUCGAACGAGACGAUUGAAAGCUUGCUUUCGAAAGUCGAGUGGCAAACGGGUGAGUAACGCGUAGACAACCUGCCUUUGAGAUGGGGACAACAGUUCGAAAGGACUGCUAAUACCGAAUGUUGUAUAUUUUCCACAUGGAAGAUAUAUUAAAGAUGGCCUCUAUUUAUAAGCUAUCGCUCAAAGAUGGGUCUGCGUCUGAUUAGCUAGUUGGUGGGGUAACGGCCUACCAAGGCGACGAUCAGUAGCCGGUCUGAGAGGAUGAACGGCCACAUUGGGACUGAGGCACGGCCCAGACUCCUACGGGAGGCAGCAGUGGGGAAUCUUCCACAAUGGACGAAAGUCUGAUGGAGCAACGCCGCGUGAGUGAAGAAGGGUUUCGGCUCGUAAAGCUCUGUUGUCGGGGACGAAUGUGCAUUACUUGAAUAAAGUAGUGUAAUGACGGUACCUGACGAGGAAGCCACGGCUAACUACGUGCCAGCCGCCGCGGUAAUAC
rnacentral:rRNA from 1 species